rnacentral:rRNA from 1 species
CUCUUUCUUGAUUUUGUGGGUGGUGGUGCAUGGCCGUUCUUAGUUGGUGGGGUGACUUGUCUGCUUAAUUGCGAUAACGAACGAGACCUUAACCUGCUAAAUAGCCCGCAUUGCUCCGGCAGUGCGCUGGCUUCUUAGAGGGACUUUCGGCUCAAGCCGAAGGAAGUUUGAGGCAAUAACAGGUCUGUGAUGCCCUUAGAUGUUCUGGGCCGCAUGCGCGCUACACUGACGGGGUCAGCGAGUUCCUUGGCCGAAAGGCCCGGGUAAUCUUGUUAGCCCCCGUCGUGCUGGGGAUAGAGCAUUGCAAUUAUUGCUCUUCAACGAGGAAUCCCUAGUAAGCGCAAGUCAUCAGCUUGCGUUGAUUACGUCCCUGCCCUUUGUACACACCGCCCGUCGCUACUACCGAUUGAAUGGCUCAGUGAGGCGUCCGGACUGGCCCAGGGAGGUGGGCAACUACCACCCAGGGCCGGAAAGUUCUCCAAACUCGGUCAUUUAGAGGAAGUAAAAGUCGUAACAAGGUUU